rnacentral:misc_RNA from 1 species
CUGGCAGCUGGCCGAUGCUGCCGCUGUAUAAUCCGAGAAGCAAGUGAGCACUGCGCAGACGCCAUUUCCAUCGGCCCUCGCUUUUCUCCUCCUUUGCACCAUUUUUUCCCUCACGUUCUGCUGUUGUGCUGUGCGGGGAGAUGAUGGCGCGCAUCCGCCUAUAUAUAUUCCCUUGUCACCUUUCGUUUUUUCGUUAUCAGUUUAAUCGGCGAACAUGCAGAAUACGCCCCCCCCCUUCUCCUUCUUCUCCCGCUGCUCCUCCCCAACGGCCCGCGAACGAUCGGUGUACAUCACAGGGUUGCGCGACAUGCCAAUACGUUUAUCCGCCUAUGCCUACAGCGAAGCGAGCCAUGAAGGGUGAAAGGUGGUCCUCUCGCUAUGUUCUCGAGUGUGGGUGUGCUCGUGUCUGUUCCCGUCAUCGUGUCUGCGCUCCGAACGCGCGCGCGAAUGGAAUCAGGCCUUGCGCGUUUGUGCGCGUGGCAAGCACGCACUCGUCAAUGUGCAAUCACACGUAUGUACCCAGUCUCUCCCGUUUCCCCGAUGAUGAUGUGCGUGCAUGACGGCACCAGUGAAAUCUCACACCCUUCACGUCGUUGAUGCAAGCGGCUCGGCAUUGGCUCUAUCACUAUUAGCGUUCCCCGUUCAUCUCUUCCCCUCACUCUUGGUGUGCAUAUGCUAGUGGUGAGGUGCACUUCCCUUGUGUUUUGCCAGCGAGAAGGAUUGGUAUAGAAAGCAGCGCACCUCCGCCCACCCCCUCCUGUUCUCCGCUCUCGGUCUUGGGGCGAUAGACGUCUGCCGUGCACACGCAUAGUGCCUUCUGUGGCUGUCCCUCCGCGUGUGUGUGUGCGUGUGUUUGGCUGAGAAAGAGGACGACGAUGUGUGCCUCGACAAGCCCUCGCUUGCUGUCUUCUGUCUUCGUGUUUUCUCAGUCGCCCCGUGUCUCUUUCAUUCUGCGGCACACGGCAUUGGUGCCCGUGCCUCCCCCGGCCCCCCUUCUUCAAUGACCAUUCUUACCCGACACUCACUCACUUGGCCUCGCUGCGCCAUCAGGGAUGGAUAGAGCAACUAGUGGCGUAUGUGCGCGUAUAAUCACGAACGCACCUAAGACAAACUGUGGGAAUGCAGUGCGGUCGC